rnacentral:rRNA from 3 species
AAACUUUCAACAACGGAUCUCUUGGUUCCGGUAUCGAUGAAGAACGCAGCGAAAUGCGAUAAAUAAUGUGAAUUGCAGAAUUCAGUGAAUCAUCGAGUCUUUGAACGCACAUUGCGCCCCCUGGUAUUCCGGGGGGCAUGCCUGUCCGAGCGUCAUUG